GCUUUACCUCGACUUCUUCUUUCCUCGUCCUGGUCUGGUAAUCAGAAAAUAGAUCUUGAAAGUUUAAACAUUAUUACUCCUUCUUUUGGUAAAUCUUAUUAAGAUCUUAUAAAGAUUGACCACAUUACCUAGAAUGGUGGCGUGCUUGUAAGCUCUUUUAAUCGAAUAACCCUACUCUCUCGUGUGUAAGUUAUAGUGUUUAGCUCUGCAGGGGUCAGUGUGUCUGACAAAAAUGGACAAAUUCUGUUUUCACUGUUGCUGAUAUUAGUUAGACAAAGUUUUAAUGGCUCAAGAUUCAAUUCCCAGACAGAGUUUUACUUCAGUUUGAGAAAAUAGGCUGUCAUCCUCAGAUUUCACGCCUACAAGAGGAACUCGAAGGCACCGCAAAACCUGUUAGUUCCUAUUCACUCCUAACCUGCUCCUGCUUUUGAGGGCAGUUCAGUCCUUUAAAAGUUGAAGCACAUGCAUCGUGAAGUUCAGCGUGUUAUUUGAAGGUCAGAGUAAUAAAAGUAAAAGUUUCCUUAAUUAGAAGAACUUUUUAAAAACUUCAGAUUUCUGUUGCAUCUCUGAAACUUCAUGUACUCUCUGCAGCAUGUGUACUGUUUUCUCUCUGCUGCGUUUUUUAAAGACACAAUAGUCUCUUUCUCUGACGACUCGGUUUUUCCUCAGGCUGCUUUUUUGCUGAGUCACCACCGAGAGGCCAUUAAUCUUUAACUAUGGGCAAACCAAG